rnacentral:lncRNA from 1 species
UAAAGCAAAAGAUAAUAAGUAAUGAUCUAGAAAUAAUCGAAAAUAUACAGGAUGUGUUAAUGAUCUUAGAAAAUAUCAUCUGAUCCGUAAAUUUGGUGCACUAAAUAAAAAGAAAUAAACGUCACACGUCACAGAUACUUAUUUCUAUAUUUUUAAAUUUUUAUCACACGAAAUUUGCAUAGAGAAUGCUUAGAAAACAAGUAUUACCUAUAAGACACAGCGAACUCAGUGUCACAAAUGCUCACUGGUCGAAUAUUCAACCGCUAACGUAUAGAUAUGGUUAAUUAAAUGGGUAAAAAAAAUAAAUGGCGCAUAAAAAUAAUAAUAGCAAAUAAACUGGGCGAUAAUACACCUGUGUAAUACAAUUCCACGCGACUGAUUAGUUGGUUAAAUUAAAGUGGUCGAUUUAGCGACCAUCAACCUAUAAAGGGUUAACACCAAAAACAUCUAAAUAAAGGAACCAUAGAUUUAAAAUAAUUUCUCUUUCUUCAAAAAUAAUUACGCACGCCGCUGCUGCUAGCAGAACCUCUUUCUCGCCAAAACGAUUCAAGAUUUACGAAAACUAUAAUGUGGACGACUCCCGGUUUUUUAGCAUGUGAUAUGUAGCUUGUUAAAUAUCAAUGUUAUAUAACAUGUUACUAAAUGUGGACCCUCCUUUAGCUACACUACUGAAUCCCCAAUCUCAGUUGAGAUACUCACUGAGUAAAUAUGUUGAAGCCUUUAAUGUCAAAUAAAAAAUUCACUAAAAUUUUUGUUUAUAAUUUGUUGUUAAUUUUAAUUCACGUGACCAUUUGCACUUAUUAGGAACCGAUACUCAUUUAAUGAACAAACUUUUGACCAUUUUGGUGACGUCAUGGAUCGUAGUCUUCGGCUUCUAUUGCCACAGAGGUCGCAGAUCAGAUAAUAUGCAUUCGUACAGUGCUGCCAUAGCCUCAUUAUUAUUUUCAUUAUCAGAAAGAAAGUACUGAAUUAGUUGUUUUAUACACGGUACACAACGCAAUACCAUUAUCUAAUGCAAUUUUUAGACAAUGUACAUGAAAAUUUGAAGUGUUGUAACUUUAACAUAGAACUGAAAAUAUAUUAUAUUAAAUUGGAUUUCCAAAUCUGGCAACCUCGUACCGCUUGUACCAGACCGGUUAUUCGACGCACACAGCUGCUGCUGUAGCAAGAACUACCCCACCUCCAGGGUUGCCAGAUUUCACGAUUUAUCGUGAAAUCUCGCGAUUUUGUAUCAAAUCUCAGGAUCUCACGAUUUUUUCCGUUUUGCCAAUUAAAAAAAUACUGUUUUCAGAAAUAUUAAAAUAUCCGUGUUAACUAAAAAGUCAAUCAGUCAUUUCAUAACAGAAUAUUCUAUUUUACAUCAUACUUCUUGUAAUUUAAGAUGUGCAAAUGACAUGUAACUCGUGACAUUUUCAGUAUUUUACAUUAUUUUUAAAGGCCUCGGUGAUUCCCCGAUAUGAGUGCUGCAUCACUGCGGGGAAUCACCGAAGUCUAUUCUCAUUAUUUAUUUAAAAUGUUUCUAUUCACUUUAGACUGUGCUUUAGAUUUUAAAAUCUUAUUUAUUUUCUUUUCAAUUUUAGGUGAUAUUUACCUUUUCAGUUAGGAUUGUUUAGACUGAAAGUUUUUUUUAUAUAGAAAUAAAGAAAAUAAAAUUUUCCAAAUUCAUAGACUCUUUUUUAUUAUUCUAAUAUUUAAACUUAUUUAACAGUUAAAAAUGAAAUAUACAUAAGUAUAUAAUGGCGGGUGAAUCUAAAUCUCUCUAAAUAACUGCACAUAUUUUCCUCUUUACUGUUUUUCAAAUAAGUCCAAAAUAACCAAGUUAUUUUAUUUUCAAAAUUUAAAAAAAUGUAUUUUUGCUUAAAUUUUGAGAACCACUAGAUAUUUUGUAGGUUUUCCUUCAUGUAAAGUUAAAACUAUUACCUAUGUUGUCAUAUUAUCAAGAUAUUAUGCUUCUCAACUAAAAUUUAAAAAAAAAAUCGAUUUUUUGUUCAAAAAAUUACAAAUUUUCAAUUUUUUUUUCACUAAAAAAAACUCAGACUUGUUUCUGUGGUCAAAAUAUACUACUCUAAAAAUAUUUGCACUUAUUUCAGACUCACCCUGUAAAAAUUUGGUAUACUUAUUUUAAAAUUAGCGCUUUUCUGACAUCUCACGAUUUCUCACAAUUUUUGACGUCCAAUCUCACGAAUUUCUCUCGAAUCAAUCUGGCAUCGCUGCCCACUGCCCACCACCAUCGCCACGAUUUUAUAGAAAGGUGCAUAUUUGCAUUUUUGUUUCGCUUAUUCUUCCACUGCAGGUUUGUUGAGUUGGUGCUUUGGUACGUUCUAAGCGCGCAUUAUUCUUUAUAGAGAGCCUCCAUAUUGUAUUUAAGCUAUGCUUCUUAGAAAGUCUUCUGUAAAUUCUACAAGUAGAUUGGUUUCGUUCUCAAGGAAAAGAAAACCAUGCAAAAUGUCCGAUGCAUUCGAAAGCCAGCAAAGUACAACUUGACUGCAAGAGUAUAGAUGGUAAAUGCAUGCUUUGGAAAAGGCUCUUUUGAUCAUCUGUUGAAAUUUGAAAAAAUUGGAAUUAUGGUGCAACCAGCUAAUUCAAAUCUUCAAGAAUAAGAAGAUAUUCUGAUUAAAUAAUCAGAUAUUGGACGAAAAACACUGAAUUUUGCUUUGAAAAGAAAGCAAUUUUCAUGAGGAUAUGAUAGUAAUAAUUGGUUAUGCCUUGCAAGAACAGGAUUUAAAUUUUAAAUUAUUGUUUCUUUUGUGUAGUUUUACUUUUUUAACAAAAUUAUUUUUUGUUUAAAUUUAGCUUAGUACAGACAAUUUUGACUAAUUAUACUGAAGCUCACAUAAAUGAUAUUGAUCAAUCUAUUAUAACUUUAAAAUCGCGGGGUAUACAGUACGUCUGUCCGUUCUGUAGCUACGGGGUAUCCGUGAGAGGGGAAACGAUAUUCUCUCGACGUUUUUCGUAAAAAAUUAGACGACGCGGCCCAUCAAUCAAAAUUCGACAAAUUUGCAAGUAGCCAAUAAAAUGAGUGGGCGGAGCGAUUUGCGGUGACGUACUCCUCAAGUCGACGUAUAAAAUAUAUUGCUGUUUAUUUAAAUGUUUUUUGUCCGCAUUCCUUUCAUAGACACAGAUCCAGCAGACGUACUGUAUAUCUGAAAUAUAUAUUUUUUAUGGUUAGUGUUUGACAUCAGCGUAUUUACUUUUUUUCUUAUAUGAAUAACUAUCUUUAAAUAUACCGGUUGUUUUUCAAAUGUGGCUCAACCCAUAUGUUUAUUUU